rnacentral:rRNA from 1 species
AUUGAACGCUGGCGGCAUGCCUUACACAUGCAAGUCGAACGGUAACAGGUCUUCGGAUGCUGACGAGUGGCGAACGGGUGAGUAAUACAUCGGAACGUGCCCGAUCGUGGGGGAUAACGAAGCGAAAGCUUUGCUAAUACCGCAUACGAUCUACGGAUGAAAGCAGGGGACCGCAAGGCCUUGCGCGAACGGAGCGGCAGAUGGCAGAUUAGGUAGUUGGUGGGAUAAAAGCUUACCAAGCCGACGAUCUGUAGCUGGUCUGAGAGGACGACCAGCCACACUGGGACUGAGACACGGCCCAGACUCCUACGGGAGGCAGCAGUGGGGAAUUUUGGACAAUGGGCGAAAGCCUGAUCCAGCCAUGCCGCGUGCAGGAUGAAGGCCUUCGGGUUGUAAACUGCUUUUGUACGGAACGAAAAGACUCUGGUUAAUACCUGGGGUCCAUGACGGUACCGUAAGAAUAAGCACCGGCUAACUACGUGCCAGCCGCCGCCGUAAUAC